GAUGAACGCUGGCGGCGUGCCUAAUACAUGCAAGCCGAGCGAAUGGAUUAAGAGCUUGCUCUUAUGAAGUUAGCGGCGGACGGGUGAGUAACACGUGAGUAACCUGCCCAUAAGACUGGGAUAACUCCGGGAAACCGGGGCUAAUACCGGAUAACAUUUUGAACCGCAUGGUUCGAAAUUGAAAGGCGGCUUCGGCUGUCACUUAUGGAUGGACCCGCGUCGCAUUAGCUAGUUGGUGAGGUAACGGAUCACCAAGGCAACGAUGCGUAGCCGACCUGAGAGGGUGAUCGGCCACACUGGGACUGAGACACGGCCCAGACUCCUACGGGAGGCAGCAGUAGGGAAUCUUCCGCAAUGGACGAAAGUCUGACGGAGCAACGCCGCGUGAGUGAUGAAGGCUUUCGGGUCGUAAAACUCUGUUGUUAGGGAAGAACAAGUGCUAGUUGAAUAAGCUGACACCUUGACGGUACCUAACCAGAAAGCCACGGCUAACUACGUGCCAGCCGCCGCUGUAA
rnacentral:rRNA from 1 species